GACGAACGCUGGCGGCGUGCUUAACACAUGCAAGUCGAACGGAAAGGCCCUGCUUUUGUGGGGUGCUCGAGUGGCGAACGGGUGAGUAACACGUGAGUAACCUGCCCUUGACUUUGGGAUAACUUCAGGAAACUGGGGCUAAAACCGGAUAGGAGCUCCUGCUGCAUGGUGGGGGUUGGAAAGUUUCGACGGUUGGGGAUGGACUCGCGGCUUAUCAGCUUGUUGGUGGGGUAGUGGCUUACCAAGGCUUUGACGGGUAGCCGGCCUGAGAGGGUGACCGGCCACAUUGGGACUGAGAUACGGCCCAGACUCCUACGGGAGGCAGCAGUGGGGAAUAUUGCACAAUGGGCGGAAGCCUGAUGCAGCAACGCCGCGUGCGGGAUGACGGCCUUCGGGUUGUAAACCGCUUUCGCCUGUGACGAAGCGUGAGUGACGGUAAUGGGUAAAGAAGCACCGGCUAACUACGUG
rnacentral:rRNA from 1 species